rfam:Picea glauca, whole genome shotgun sequence.
AUAAAAUAAAAUUGGAUAAUACCAUUACAUAAAAGUUGGUUUUUUAAUUAAAAUUUUAAUUUUUUUUAAAUGAUUAAAAUAUUUUAUGAUUUGGAGUUCAUCCUUUUCCUUACGAUGGCUUCAACCAUAUGGGAUGGUCCAAAAGUUGACUUAUGGUGCCAUAUUGCUUACUAACCUAAGUCUCACAAAGGGUGCACAUAGGAGCCCAAAUUUGUGAAGAAGCGUGUAACAACUAGCCCUCAAAAUGGACGAAAGUGUAUGAUCUAUACUAGACCAUCAUAGAAAUUUGCAAGCCCUAAUAAGUAGGAGAAUAUGAUGAUCAUUAAUAAGUAAGAGAACAUGUGGAUCACUAAGAAACCUAAGGUGCAAAUCUAAGCAAAUCUAUCCUAGAUCAUAGUGGUAGUAGGAAAUAUUCAAAUGAGAACUUUGAAGACUAAAGUAGGGAAAAUGCUCCAUGUGGUAGACCACUCACUAUUUUCUCCGACUCUAAAGUUAGCGUCUCAUUC